CUGGCUCAGGACGAACGCUGGCGGCGUGCCUAAUACAUGCAAGUAGAACGCUGAAGAGAGGAGCUUGCUCUUCUUGGAUGAGUUGCGAACGGGUGAGUAACGCGUAGGUAACCUGCCUUGUAGCGGGGGAUAACUAUUGGAAACGAUAGCUAAUACCGCAUAACAAUGGAUGACACAUGUCAUUUAUUUGAAAGGGGCAAUUGCUCCACUACAAGAUGGACCUGCGUUGUAUUAGCUAGUAGGUGAGGUAACGGCUCACCUAGGCGACGAUACAUAGCCGACCUGAGAGGGUGAUCGGCCACACUGGGACUGAGACACGGCCCAGACUCCUACGGGAGGCAGCAGUAGGGAAUCUUCGGCAAUGGGGGCAACCCUGACCGAGCAACGCCGCGUGAGUGAAGAAGGUUUUCGGAUCGUAAAGCUCUGUUGUAAGUCAAGAACGAGUGUGAGAGUGGAAAGUUCACACUGUGACGGUAGCUUACCAGAAAGGGACGGCUAACUACGUGCCAGCAGCCGCGGUAAUACGUAGGUCCCGAGCGUUGUCCGGAUUUAUUGGGCGUAAAGCGAGCGCAGGCGGUUUGAUAAGUCUGAAGUUAAAGGCUGUGGCUCAACCAUAGUUCGCUUUGGAAACUGUCAAACUUGAGUGCAGAAGGGGAGAGUGGAAUUCCAUGUGUAGCGGUGAAAUGCGUAGAUAUAUGGAGGAACACCGGUGGCGAAAGCGGCUCUCUGGUCUGUAACUGACGCUGAGGCUCGAAAGCGUGGGGAGCGAACAGGAUUAGAUACCCUGGUAGUCCACGCCGUAAACGAUGAGUGCUAGGUGUUGGAUCCUUUCCGGGAUUCAGUGCCGCAGCUAACGCAUUAAGCACUCCGCCUGGGGAGUACGACCGCAAGGUUGAAACUCAAAGGAAUUGACGGGGGCCCGCACAAGCGGUGGAGCAUGUGGUUUAAUUCGAAGCAACGCGAAGAACCUUACCAGGUCUUGACAUCCCGAUGCUAUUUCUAGAGAUAGAAAGUUACUUCGGUACAUCGGUGACAGGUGGUGCAUGGUUGUCGUCAGCUCGUGUCGUGAGAUGUUGGGUUAAGUCCCGCAACGAGCGCAACCCCUAUUGUUAGUUGCCAUCAUUCAGUUGGGCACUCUAGCGAGACUGCCGGUAAUAAACCGGAGGAAGGUGGGGAUGACGUCAAAUCAUCAUGCCCCUUAUGACCUGGGCUACACACGUGCUACAAUGGUUGGUACAACGAGUUGCGAGUCGGUGACGGCAAGCUAAUCUCUUAAAGCCAAUCUCAGUUCGGAUUGUAGGCUGCAACUCGCCUACAUGAAGUCGGAAUCGCUAGUAAUCGCGGAUCAGCACGCCGCGGUGAAUACGUUCCCGGGCCUUGUACACACCGCCCGUCACACCACGAGAGUUUGUAACACCCGAAGUCGGUGAGGUAACCUUUUGGAGCCAGCCGCCUAAGGUGGGAUAGAUGAUUGGGGU
rnacentral:rRNA from 1 species